AGAGUUUGAUCCUGGCUCAGAACGAACGCUGGCGGCGUGCUUAACACAUGCAAGUCGAACGUGAUUCAGAGCUUGCUCUGAUGAAAGUGGCGCACGGGUGAGUAACGCGUGAAUAACCUGCCCUGGUAUCUGGGAUAACAUCUCGAAAGGGGUGCUAAUACCGGAUAAGCCUACGGACUCCUCGGAGUCUGCAGGAAAAGGAGGCCUCUAUUUAUAAGCUUCCGUAUCAUGAUGGGUCCGCGUACCAUUAGCUAGUUGGUGGGGUAAUGGCCUACCAAGGCGACGAUGGUUAGCUGGUCUGAGAGGAUGAUCAGCCACACUGGAACUGAGACACGGUCCAGACUCCUACGGGAGGCAGCAGUGGGGAAUUUUGCGCAAUGGGGGAAACCCUGACGCAGCAACGCCGCGUGAGUGAUGAAGGCUUUCGGGUCGUAAAGCUCUGUCAGAGGGGAAGAAAUGAAACGUGCUAAUAUCACGUUUUCUUGACGGUACCCUCAAAGGAAGCACCGGCUAACUCCGUGCCAGCAGCCGCGGUAAUAC
rnacentral:rRNA from 2 species